CCAAUAGCGUAUAUUAAAGUUGUUGCAGUUAAAAAGCUCGUAGUUGAACUUCGGGAUUUGCUCAUUGGUCAGGCUUAAUUGUCUGUACUGGUGUAACGAAUUCCUACCUUCUGAUGAAUCUUCAUGCCAUUCACUUGGUGCGGAGGGGAAUCAGGACUGUUACUUUGAAAAAAUUAGAGUGUUUAAAGCAGGCUAUUGCUCGAAUACAUUAGCAUGGAAUAAUAGAAUAGGACGGUUGGUUCUAUUUUGUUGGUUUCUAGGAUCACCGUAAUGAUUAAUAGGGAUAGUUGGGGGCAUUAGUAUUCAAUUGUCAGAGGUGAAAUUCUUGGAUUUAUUGAAGACUAACUACUGCGAAAGCAUUUGCCAAGGAUGUUUUCAUUAAUCAAGAACGAAAGUUAGGGGAUCGAAGACGAUCAGAUACCGUCGUAGUCUUAACCAUAAACUAUGCCGACUAGGGAUCGGACGAAGUUAAUUUUUAAAUGACUCGUUCGGCACCUUACG
rnacentral:rRNA from 1 species